rnacentral:tRNA from 1 species
GCCGUCGUAGCUCAGUUGGUAGAGCAUCCGGCUGUUAACCGGAAGGUCAUCGGUUCGAGCCCGAUCGACGGCG